rnacentral:rRNA from 1 species
GUGGGGAAUCUUGCGCAAUGGGCGAAAGCCUGACGCAGCGACGCCGCGUGAGUGAUGAAGGCCUUCGGGUUGUAAAGCUCUGUGGAGAGGGACGAAUAAGCGUUGGCCAAUAUCCAACGUGAUGACGGUACCUCCUUAGCAAGCACCGGCUAACUCUGUGCCAGCAGCCGCGGUAAGACAGAGGGUGCAAACGUUGUUCGGAAUUACUGGGCGUAAAGCGCGUGUAGGCUGCUCAGAAAGUCGGAUGUGAAAGCCCUGGGCUUAACCUAGGAAGUGCAUUCGAAACUUCUGAGCUUGAGUUCUGGAGAGGAAGGCGGAAUUCUCGGUGUAGAGGUGAAAUUCGUAGAUAUCGAGAGGAACACCGGUGGCGAAGGCGGCCUUCUGGACAGUGACUGACGCUGAGACGCGAAAGCGUGGGGAGCAAACAGGAUUAGAUACCCGAGUAGUCC